rnacentral:tRNA from 1 species
GGGCGAUUAGCUCAGCGGCAGAGCAUCUCGUUUACACCGAGAGGGUCGGCGGUUCGAUCCCGUCAUCGCCCACCA